rnacentral:rRNA from 1 species
AUGGCAGCGCUCGUCCAACAGGAAGACAAGCUCGCCAUGAGCAGCGACGAGUUGCUCGAAGCUCAGUUGGAGCUGUACCACCACGGCCUCGCCUUCGUCAAGUCGCUGGCGCUCAAGGCCGCCAUCGACCUCGGCAUCCCCGAUGCCAUCCACAGCCGCGGCGGGGGCGGCGCGACCCUUUCCGAGCUCGUCGCGGACAUCGGCAUCCACCCGACGAAGCUCCCCAACCUUCGUCGGCUCAUGCGAGUGCUUACCACCUCCGGUGUCUUCUCUGUCUCUGGCUCCGGCGACGCCGCAUGCUACAAGCUCACCCGCGUGUCUCGUCUCCUCGUGUCGGGCGGCCUGUCCCCCAUGGUGGUAGGAUUCCUUUACCCGCAGUAUGUAGCGGCUCUCUCAGACAUGCGCGAGUGGUUCACCGACGAGCGGGCGACGGCCAUGUCGCUCUUCGAGGUGGCAAAUGGGCGCACGUUGUGGGAGCUGGCCGCGUCGGACCCCACGACUGGCACCGCCUUGCAGGCUGCCAUGGACGCCGACAGCCGCUUUACGGUGAAGAACCUCCUCACGGAUUGCGGAGCAAGCGUGUUAAGUGCCGUGAGGGGCCCGCUAGUGGACGUCGGCGGCGGCCAUGGUGCCACGGCGGCCGCCGUCGCAAGUGCCUUCCCACAUCUCAAGUGCAGCGUGCUGGAUCUCCCUCACGUCGUCGCUUCUGCUCCGGCCCAUGAGGGUGACAUUCGUCGCCGGCGAUAUGUUGAGUACAUCCCACCCGCCGACGUUGUUCUACUCAAGUGGAUUCUGCAUGACUGGAAAGAUGAAGAUUGUGUGAAGAUAUUGCGACGAUGCAAGGAAGCAAUCCCAUCAAGGGACGCAGGAGGAAAGGUGAUAAUUAUCGAUGCUGUGGUUGGGUCUGCAAGCUCGUCGCAGGGAAUCAUCUCCAAAGAGACUGAGGUUUUGUUCGACGUCUACAUCAUGAACAUCGAUGGAAUUGAGCGAGAGGACCACGAGUGGAAGAAGAUUUUCGUUGAAGCCGGAUUCACUGACUAUAAGAUUACACCAACCAAGGGGCUUCGACAAAUCAUUGAACUCUAUCCAUGA